rnacentral:rRNA from 1 species
GACGAACGCUGGCGGCGUGCUUAACACAUGCAAGUCGAACGGAAAGGCCCUGCUUUUAUGGGGUGCUCGAGUGGCGAACGGGUGAGUAACACGUGAGUAACCUUCCCUUGACUUUGGGAUAACUUCAGGAAACUGGGGCUAAUACCGGAUAGGAGCUCCUGCUGCAUGGUGGGGGUUGGAAAGUUUCGGCGGUUGGGGAUGGACUCGCGGCUUAUCAGCUUGUUGGUGGGGUAGUGGCUUACCAAGGCUUUGACGGGUAGCCGGCCUGAGAGGGUAACCGGCCACAUUGGGACUGAGAGACGGCCCAGACUCCUACGGGAGGCAGCAGGGGGGAAUAUUGCACAAUGGGCGGAAGCAUGAUGCAGCAACGCCGCGUGCGGGAUGACGGCCUUCGGGUUGUAAACCGCUUUCGCCUGUGACGAAGCGUGAGUGACGGUAAUGGGUAAAGAAGCACCGGCUAACUACGUG